UGAUAUUAUGAAUCAUGAGUCGAUAAUAAAUAUGGUUUUUUAUCAGAAAUUUUUUUUUAGUAUCUAUUAGCUUAGGCAGCUCGUGCUGAUAACGUGUUAGAAAAGAAGAAGAAGAGGAAGAUUUGUGUGUAUUAUUCCAAUGAAUGAGAGGUCCUUUAUAAAGGAGUAUAAGGUUAGGGUUUCACAAAGCAUCUACAGGAUAAUUCUAGAAUAUUCUAUUCUAGAAGGAUCUAGAAGAUGGGCCUUAUAAUGGGCAUCCAUCUAAUAUUCAUAACAGUUAUAUCAAAUUAUAAUUAUAUCAAAAAU
rnacentral:sRNA from 1 species